CCUACGGGAGGCAGCAGUGGGGAAUAUUGCGCAAUGGGCGAAAGCCUGACCCAGCAACGCCGCGUGAAGGAAGAAGGCUUUCGGGUUGUAAACUUCUUUCAAGAGGGAAGAGAAGAAGACGGUAUCUCUUGAAUAAGCCACGGCUAACUACGUGCCAGCAGCCGCGGUAAUACGUAGGUGGCAAGCGAUGUCCGGAUUUACUGGGUGUAAAGGGCGUGCAGCCGGGCUGACACGUCAGAUGUGAAAUCCCGCGGCUCAACCGCGGAACUGCAUUUGAAACUGUCAUUCUUGAGUACCGGAGAGGUCAUCGGAAUUCCUAGUGUAGCGGUGAAAUGCGUAGAUAUAAGGAAGAACACCAGUGGCGAAGGCGGAUGACUGGACGGCGACUGACGGUGAGGCGCGAAAGCGUGGGGAGCAAACAGGAUUAGAUACCCUAGUAGUC
rnacentral:rRNA from 1 species